GACGAACGCUGGCGGCGUGCUUAAUACAUGCAAGUCGAACGGUAAGGCCCUUCGGGGUACACGAGUGGCGAACGGGUGAGUAACACGUGGGUGAUCUGCCCUGCACUUCGGGAUAAGCCUGGGAAACUGGGUCUAAUACCGGAUAGGACCACUGCCUGCAUGGGUGGUGGUGGAAAGCUUUUGCGGUGUGGGAUGGGCCCGGGGCGUAUGAGCGUGUUGGUGGGGUGAUGGCGUACCAAGGCGACGACGGGUAGCCGGCCUGAGAGGGUGACCGGCCACGCUGGGACUGGGAUACGGCCCAGACUCCUACGGGAGGCAGCAGUGGGGAAUAUUGCACAAUGGGCGCAAGCCUGACGCAGCGACGCCGCGUGGGGGAUGACGGCCUUCGGGUUGUAACCCUCUUUCAGCACCGACGAAGCGCAAGUGACGGUAGGUGCAGAAGAAGGACCGGCCAACUACGUGCCAGCCGCCGCCGUAA
rnacentral:rRNA from 1 species